UACAUAUCCAGUUUAAGUCAAUCCUGGUUUAAGUCCCCAUGUCUUACCCAAAAUAUGUCUACAGUCUCAUAGGGCUUUACAGUCUUCAUAACAAUAAAAUCUGUGUGUGUGGUUUUGAAGUCAAUCCCUUGCCUAAUACAACACCAAGGUAUUUAAUUUCAAUGGAAAGUUGUAACCUUUUGUCAAAGAGUGAUGGUUUAGAAAGUCCCAUCGAUAAGAAUGAUGUUCAGAAAGUCCCAUCAACCGUCGUCUUCAUGUAAAAGUACAAUUACACUCAUUGCUUAAUUAAUAGGUAAUCUAAUCUUAUUGCACCAUUUAGAAACUAUAUUGAGAGCUAUCUGAAGC
rnacentral:lncRNA from 1 species